AACCGCCACCGUCUCAGCCUGAAGGCGACCGAUCUCGUCUGAUCUCGGAAGCUAAGCAGGGUCGGGCCUGGUUAGGAUCUUGGAUGGGAGACCACCUGGGAAUCCCGGGUGCUCGAGGCUU
rnacentral:rRNA from 1 species